rnacentral:rRNA from 14 species
AUCUAUGGCCAUGUUGCUCUGAGUGUGCCUCACUUUGUCCUCAGAAGCUAAGCAAGGUUAGACCUGCUUAGUACUUGGAUGGGAGACCUAGGAAUACUGGUUUAAUUAUUA